GGGGGUGCCCGGUUUUGACAGCAGGCAGAGUUUGAUUGUAAGCACGCCGAGCGCUGUGUGGCGGCUCGUAAAUCCCGACGCUCAAGAUUCAAAUGGCAAUAACAGCUAUGCACUCGCUGCAUAAUUUUCAAGGAAAAUUAGCUUAAUCGCCGGGCCCAAGGCGGCUUGGCGACGAGUAUCCCGGGGAGUGGUUCCGCCCUUUAACCGCUUUCCAUAUGGGGUAUCAUCAAUUCAGGGAUAGUGCACCGGAGCGUCCCGGCCGGUGUGCGAAAUUCAGGGACUGGGACUCGGGUUGGGUUGCCGCCUGCCAGGCCCGGGUAGAAGGAUCAAACGGCGGCUAAGCGUGUAGAAAGCUUUCGGGUUCCCUGUUUGGACGCGGGUUCGACUCCCGCCACCUCCACGA
rfam:Alistipes sp. CAG:29 genomic scaffold, scf137